AGGGAAAUAGCGCAGUGGUAGAGCGCAUGCUUAGCAUGCAUGAGGUCCUGAGUUCAAUCCCCAGUACCUCCA
rnacentral:tRNA from 1 species